ensembl:lncRNA
AAGGGGCAGAGCCAAAAGGAUGGAGAAGAAGCAGAGAAGUGAAAAGUCACCAUGAGAAUCCUCUCCAACUAAUCUUAAAAUGACACCACAAAAUGAAUACAGGAGUAAAAGAACCAACAAGGAGACAGAGUGAAACAACACUCAAAAAGACAUAAACACAAAAGGGGCUAACUCUAUAGCCUGCUGAACCUCCCUCUAAAGAGGAAACAUAACUAAAUCAACCUUGUGAUGGAUCAAAUUGGAUUAUCCAAUUCUGAUCUUCAGAGUCUUGAAAUAUCCUGAUUCUACCUGGUUAUCCCAUUUGAUACCAACUCUGCAACUGUGAAAGAGAGAAAUUUUUGAUAGGGGAAAAUGAGAAGAGCAAAGGAGCAUCAAAAAGAAAUCAUGAUCCAGUUCCCAUCAAAAGACCUUCCAGGAAAGAUGAAAAGAAAACUGAUUACAGCUGCUUGGGAAAACCAGACAGAACCAUUGUGGGAAAAAAUAGAGCAUCGUUUGAAUUCUAAGCCAAUGUCCCACCUCAACCAACCCAUAGGCAGGACAUGUCUCAAACAACCACUCAUAGUAACACAGUUUCCAAACUCUCAAAAAACUGUACUAAUGCCAUCUCUUAAUACAAAGGAGAACUCAAAAAAAUUGACCUGCCCUGGCAAGUCGUAUACUAUGUCAGACUUGCCCUUAAAACGUUGCCCUAGUAACCAGUCCCAUAUGGAGCCUUUAUCAGGACCUGGGCACUUCCAGAACAUUUUAGUUGACCACAAUCACCAAACAGCUGAGGCCCAAAAGAUUCAGAUCCCAUCUGUACGUGGACACAGAGGUAAAGUUAAGCAUAAAGCCCCCGUGAAGAAAGACUUCAAAGUCUUACCUGAGCACAAUGUGCCAAAAGGGACAACUCUAAAUGCUCUUGUAAGAAGUUUAAACUUUGCCUCCAAAUCUAAAAUUAUCUCAGCAUGUUUUUCUGAGUCUUUACCUAAAGCUAAUGGUUUAAAACCAUCAAACUAUGACUGGAUUAAGGAAAGAGAAAUGAGAAAAUCUCUUUCUGGGCCCCAAAUUCCCACUUUUUCUCUUUGUAAUAAUGUUACCGAUGCAAGAAAUGCCCAUCCUUCCUACCCCACACAGUGGCCUACUCCCACUACAGAUAAACCGCCACAUGAUAUAGACGAAAUAAUAUCAGCCCUGGGAUUAGAAACACCAAAAUUUGGACCAUGGGAACAUGCAGAAAAGGAGAAUUUUUCAGAUUUCCAACAAUGGGCCAAGUGCUCUUCUACAUGCCUGAAGUACCGUUGCAUGUACUGUAUGCCAAUGGAUACGUUUGCAUCAUGA